rnacentral:rRNA from 1 species
UACGGAGGGAGCUAGCGUUGUUCGGAAUUACUGGGCGUAAAGCGCACGUAGGCGGCUUUGUAAGUUAGAGGUGAAAGCCCGGGGCUCAACUCCGGAAUUGCCUUUAAGACUGCAUCGCUUGAAUCCAGGAGAGGUGAGUGGAAUUCCGAGUGUAGAGGUGAAAUUCGUAGAUAUUCGCAAGAACACCAGUGGCGAAGGCGGCCGACUGGUCCGGUUCUGACGCUGAGGCGCGAAAGCGUGGGGAGCAAACAGG